ACCAGACUCCUACGGGAGGCAGCAGUGGGGGAUAUUGCACAAUGGGGGGAACCCUGAUGCAGCGACGCCGCGUGGGUGAAGAAGCGCCUCGGCGCGUAAAGCCCUGUCAGCAGGGAAGAAAACGACGGUACCUGAAGAAGAAGCCCCGGCUAACUACGUGCCAGCAGCCGCGGUAAUACGUAGGGGGCAAGCGUUAUCCGGAUUUACUGGGUGUAAAGGGGGCGCAGACGGCGAUGCAAGCCAGGAGUGAAAGCCCGGGGCCCAACCCCGGGACUGCUCUUGGAACUGCGUGGCUGGAGUGCAGGAGGGGCAGGCGGAAUUCCUGGUGUAGCGGUGAAAUGCGUAGAUAUCAGGAGGAACACCGGUGGCGAAGGCGGCCUGCUGGACUGCAACUGACGUUGAGGCCCGAAAGCGUGGGGAGCAAACAGGAUUAGAUACCCGAGUAAUA
rnacentral:rRNA from 1 species